CAACAAGGCCAUGGGCCCCCCGGCGCCCCGGCGCUGGAGGGUACCGGCCUGACUUACACACCCACCCUUUGCCUAUGUGUACCUCUAUCGCUUCCUCGGCAGGCCCGCCUGCCGCCAGGAACCACGUAAACCCUUGCAUCAUACAUCAACUCUGAUACCAACCAAAAACUAUUA
rnacentral:misc_RNA from 1 species